UACGAAGGGUGCUAGCGUUGUUCGGAAUCACUGGGCGUAAAGCGCACGUAGGCGGAUGUGCCAGUCAGGGGUGAAAUCCCGGAGCUCAACUCCAGAACUGCCUUUGAUACUGGGGAUCUCGAGUCCGGAAGAGGUGAGUGGAACUCCGAGUGUAGAGGUGAAAUUCGUAGAUAUUCGGAAGAACACCAGUGGCGAAGGCGGCUCACUGGUCCGGUACUGACGCUGAGGUGCGAAAGCGUGGGGAGCAAACAGG
rnacentral:rRNA from 1 species